AGUCCCGUGGUGAAUCACAUUGAAUUGCAAAUUCAAAGGAGCAGCUUCAAUCUGCCGGGGCUU
rnacentral:tRNA from 1 species